UCACGGGAGCACAGGUUUCACCGCUGCCAGCACAGUCUAUUUAUAAUUAAUCGCCACUGUGCACUGCGAUGGGACCAGGACAGGGUCCCCCAACCCUGUGUUUUCACAAUUCUUCCUUGGCAGGAAAGAACGGCGUCCUAAUGCCCCCCCCCUCCAGAAGCUACUACCAUAGCGCAGCAACUGAAGAGUUGGCAGGAAAGGAUCAAAGAUCCUAAAGUCACAAUCUGUUGUUUGCCCGGUUGCAGCUCCGGGGGUUCGGUCACUUGUCUCGUCGGGUUUUCGCCCCAGGAUUUGUUGUCCUGAGCGUGGAGCGGCCGUUAUACAGGAAACAAAGCCUGUACCGGUUUCUCACCCCAAGUCCACAAGUGGCCCAA
rnacentral:circRNA from 1 species